CUUUUUUCGAAAAAGCUGCCUUCCUCGUUGAGAAUUGAGCAUGGAGCAGAUUUUGCUUUGCCUUCUAUUUCUCAACUACUGGACAGGUGUUGUUUCUCAAGUUGGGUUGAUUCAACCAGCUUCCCAAUCUGCAGCUCUUGGGAACACCAUAAGACUUGCCUGCUACCUGAUGAUUGGUUAUGAAGACUACGCGGUCUCGUGGUACCAACAGAGAGCAGGCCAGGCACCACGGCUUGUGUUGACUCCCAGUUACUCCAGAGGUCAUGGGAUCCCCGAUCGUUUCUCUGGCUUCAGAUUAGAUAACGCGUAUUAUUUAAUCAUCGCCGACAUCCAACCAGAAGAUGAAGCUACGUAUUAUUGUGGAGGAAGCUACGGUUUUGCAUAAGAUCCAACAAUGCAAUCAAGCGAGGAAGUGAAGUUGAAGCUGUUCUCAACUGUAAGAAGAAGAGAGAUGUUUACAAAACAUAAGAUGUUCUUAAUUCUCCAUUAAGAACGGGUAACUUUGGAACUUUUGGGAUGAUUUCUAAAAUGCCAAGCGUCCAAUUCUAUGCUUAUUUACUUGGAAGUGAAGUCCUUUUACUAGAGACAGAUGGUAGUUCAGGCAAAUGUGGAAUUGCAUGGUCAAAAUUCCACCGAGAUCUUUUCUGAAGCCUUCAAAACAAUCUGAGCUUUGCUAUCAUGAUAAAACCCAACAAUUUACAUCUGUUUUAUGGUGUAUUGUUAGCUUUGGAAUUUCCUAGACUUCAAAUUCAGAGGUGAUUGUUCACAUUUGUCAUCUGAGAAGGGGUUACUAUGAUUCAGAAUAAAAGUGCCAAGACUCACUGAAUGUCACAAAUUUGAGUUAUUGAAUACAUUGUAAAAUUAAAAUUCCUCUUUUUUAAAAAAAAAA